rnacentral:lncRNA from 10 species
ACAUGGACAAGGACGGGUGGUGUCUUGAAGGUGACAACAAAAGAAGGUGGUGGGUCCCAGGCCACAGAUGUUCCUGAUGCAGUCCUUGGGUCUGUGUGUGCUUUGGCCUGGCUGCCCUGUGUCCCCUGUGCUGAUUCAGGUAUCCCUGGGAAUGUAGAAAGUAGAAUAUUCAUGAGGAAACAGGACCCCAAUGAGGAUGAGCCAAACAUCCGAGUGCUCCUUGAGCACCGCUUUUACAAGGAGAAGAGCAAGAGCGUCAAGCAGACCUGUGACAAGUGUAACACCAUCAUCUGGGGGCUCAUUCAGACCUGGUACACCUGCACAGGUGGGCCGAGACCCAGACGAGGAGUGAGGAAUGAGAGAGACCAAAGUUCCUGCCUCCGCUGGGCUCACAUUCAGAUGUGAGCUAUCCAGUGUGGUGGCCACUAGCCAAACAUGGCCAGUCAAAGUUAAAUUAACUAAAUAUGCAUUUCCUCGUUGUACUGUCUACAUUGGACAGGGCUGUUCUGGAUGAGAAAUUAAACUAGUGAAUUAC